CAGCAGACGCCCGCCCUGCGGGGGAGGUGGGGCCUGCAGGCCGCGGGGCCGCUCUCGGAGCCCGGCAGGCCUGAGCAGGUCGGGGCGCGUGUUCCGGAAGCCCGGUCCCGGGCGCUGUGAGGGGCACCUGGGGACGCUCCGCGAGUCUGUGUCCCAGCCCUGAGCUCAGCGGAAGACUGCAGAGUCCUGGGCCCACGAGAUUGUGCAUCCAGCUCUGGCUGUGGACCUGUGGUGUCGUGAUGACCUGGGAUCAUCAGAGAGCAGGAGGCCAUUCCCUUUGGUGCCUCUCAUUCCCUGUGUGCUGGCCAGCACAUCAUUAGGCCUGAUGGAAGGCUCUGCCAGGCCCUUCCCCACCGAGGGCCUCGUCAAGCUUCCUUGACAGUAGCUGUCCUGAUGUUGUGAGGCGGUGUCUCACUGUAUCCUGCGCCGUUUUGAUGAAGGAACAUCAGAUCACGCUUCCUCUGCUGAACACCCUCUCAAGAGUAAAAGCCUCGGCCUUCCUGGUGGCCUCCCAAGCCUGAAGGAUUCCCAGUGACCUCUGGCGUCAUCUCUGGAUGAUGCCCUGUCCUUCCCCCAAGCUGUUUCCCAAGCCCACCUAGCAGCCCCGAUGUCCUUCUGUAUCUGCCUGAUGUCUCCGCUUCACCAGGACUUCAUAUAAGGAGAUGACGGCUGGAUGAACACUCUGCAGAGGGGUGCAGGGAGGCAGCGGUUUAUUCAAGGGAAGGGGAAUGUUGCAGCAACAGGUGGAGGUGAAGGUCAAGUGCAGAGCCCUCCUGGCACAUCCAGUGCUCUCUCCGUCAUGGGGAGGGGUGAGGAGGGAGGACGGUGCUUCCAGGAAAGCAGAGCUGAGGCCCGCUGGACUCCAGGCAGCUCUCUGCUCUCCUCGCCUUUUGCCUCAGAUUUUUGCAUGUCAGUCGGUCUGGAGAGGAGCUGAUGCUCUGAAGGUGCUGCCUGGCUCUGAACUAUGGAAGCCAAGAGCUCUGGUGGGGUAGGAACUGAGGGUCCACUACAUUUGCCCCAAGAACAUCCUUGCUGGCCUUGCCGAGGGAGCCUGGCACGUGUCAUGCUUGGCAAUUGUUUCCGUGAGACUCCCCUGCUUUGACGGCGACAGGACACGGGGCCCUGAAUGCAUGAUAACAACAACUGCAGGUCCCCUGAGCCUUGUUUGUAGAGGUGGGUCAUCUCUGGUACCGACCUCCAUCCACCUGAGAAGCAGGGCUGGCCACUUUGCCACCAGCCCCAGCCCUGCCCCGGAGGGAUCUGCAGUGUAAACGGACCGUGUGAAUGCUGGGAUCUGCAGUGUAAAUGGACCGUGUGAAUGCUGAUUUUUACAAAGGCCCAAAUGUGGUCAAUUCAGUUAUUCAUACCAGGCAAGGAAGCUGCCUUAUGAAUAAUUCAAAGUUGUUGCAAAUCCACAGACCUUUUUCACAUUGCCUGCUUACAGUAGGCUCUCCAUAAAUGUUUACUGAAUAACUGAAUAAAUUAACAUAUGAAUGAAUAUUUUGCAAUAAGCUUUUGGUAUUUACUUUUGCACAUCCGUCUGUUGAUGUUCUGAGGAUCAGCAGACGUCCUCACAAAGGGGCUCAGGCAUGCUCCCCAAACAGGCCUGGAGCGCCCAGAAAAGCCAGGUGGGCCGUGGUUCUCCCUUGCUCUGCAAGAGUGGCGGGGAAUAGGAAAAAAACGUCCCCGUGGCUGAUACAGCCUCUAGCUGGAAGCUGUGAGAUUCCUGACACAGGCCAUGCCUGAUUUGUGUGGCUUACCACUUUCAUUCUGCUUUUAUAACCCUCUCCUCUAGCCUUGGUUAAAGCUACCAUGUGGUCAGCAGAAUGGUCCCCCAAAGAUGUUCGGGCCCUCACCCCUGGAAACUGUGACUAUGUUCCGUCGCGGGGGAAGAGGGCUUUACAGAUGUGAUGAAAGGUAUGGACCUCACGAUAGAGAGAUCAUCUGGAACUCUCUGGUGAUGAAAGGUAUGGACCUCACGAUAGAGAGAUCAUCUGGAACUAUCUGGUGAUGAAAGGUAUGGACCUCACGAUAGAGAGAUCAUCUGGAACUCUCUGGUGAUGAAAGGUAUGGACCUCACGAUAGAGAGAUCAUCUGGAACUCUCUGGUGAUGAAAGGUAUGGACCUCACGAUAGAGAGAUCAUCUGGAACUCUCUGGUGAUGAAAGGUAUGGACCUCACGAUAGAGAGAUCAUCUGGAACUCUCUGGUGAUGAAAGGUAUGGACCUCACGAUAGAGAGAUCAUCUGGAACUAUCUGGUGAUGAAAGGUAUGGACCUCACGAUAGAGAGAUCAUCUGGAACUAUCUGGUGAUGAAAGGUAUGGACCUCACGAUAGAGAGAUCAUCUGGAACUCUCUGGUGAUGAAAGGUAUGGACCUCACGAUAGAGAGAUCAUCUGGAACUCUCUGGUGAUGAAAGGUAUGGACCUCACGAUAGAGAGAUCAUCUGGAACUAUCUGGUGAUGAAAGGUAUGGACCUCACGAUAGAGAGAUCAUCUGGAACUCUCUGGUGAUGAAAGGUAUGGACCUCACGAUAGAGAGAUCAUCUGGAACUAUCUGGUGAUGAAAGGUAUGGACCUCACGAUAGAGAGAUCAUCUGGAACUAUCUGGUGAUGAAAGGUAUGGACCUCACGAUAGAGAGAUCAUCUGGAACUAUCUGGUGAUGAAAGGUAUGGACCUCACAAUAGAGAGAUCAUCUGGAACUCUCUGGGCAGGCCCAGCUAAAUCACAUGUGCCCUCAAAAGCAAAGACCUGUCUUCACUGGCGUCCGAGAGGUGGGGCUGAAGGAGAGGGGGAGGGAUGGAAAGGUGAGAAGGCUCCAUGGGCUGCUGGGGCUUGCAGAGGGAGGGGCACUGAGUCCAGGAAUGCAGGUGGCCCCAAGGAGCUGAAAAGGCCUGGAACCAGUGGAGAAAUUGGGACUUACACCCUGUAGCUAUCAGGAUGUGAAUUCUCCCAACUACAUAAGUGAGCUUGGAAGUGGAAUCCUUCCUGGAGCCCCCAGAAAGGGACACAGCCCUGCCGACACCUUGAUUUUGACCUUGUGGGACCCUAAGCAAAGAACUGACUGAGCCACCCUGCGGCUGGACUUCUGACCCACGGAAACUGUGACCGAUGUACGGGCGAUGUUUUAAUUUACCAACUUUCACAGCAGCAUGCUAACACGGCGAACAAAUGUCACGGUGGCUUUGGACACGUGGCUUUAGCUCUUGGGACCCUGCUUCUUCCCCCUGAGUCUGAAGGGUUGGGUCACACCAUCUCCGACACCUCUCCCAGCUCUCAGGUUCUAGGAUUUGCUAUCAAUGAUACCAGCAGUUUUUGGAAUCAGGCUUGGGAGUCAAGCAGGCUGGGUUCAGGUUACCACUUUACAGCUUGAAGCUGUGCUGCUUUGUUCUGUGUUUUUGUUCCUAAUCUGUACACAGGGGUAAUAACACUGCCUUAUAAGGUUUUAACGAUUAAAUGGGAUCAUGCAUGAAAAAAAACUUGGCUCAUAGUGUGUACUUGAUAAAUACCACUUCCUUUCUCUACCUCAUUUUUAUAGUCCUGCCACUGCAAGCUGGGUUGCCCCCCACGAAACUCAAGGAGGCAUCUCAGCAAGUUUCAAGAUUUCCGUCCUCCUAUAGCUGGGACUUGCGGCUAAAGCUCUAGGAACAAGGACAUGACUCGGGACUGGCUGUGGUUACGAAGAAGCUGAGAAGUGCACAGAGCUCUAAGAAGCAGGUACAUCUGGGAUUUGCUAUCAAUCUCAAACCCCAGCAGCCCAGCCGGGGGUCCCUGUCAGGUUUCUCACUACUGGGGAAGUCCUCAGGUCCAGGCGACUGUUAUCCGGGAGCAGGAGCUGGUUCUUUCCUUUUGGACUCCUGGGUGUCAGGCUGGCUCAGUUCUGCAGCUUCGGGACAUCAAGCAGGAGGUUGGUGUCACUUACUCUGACACGUGAUGUAGCUCUAGACUGUUCCAGGCUUUCUGGUGUGUUUAUUUAAUGGGAUUUGCCAUCUGGAGUUCAGACAGCUGACUGAUCCAAAGAGAGGGAUUUUGCAGUGGGCUCUUCAGUUUUCCGAAGCUCAAGUGCAGCUUCUUUCAUCAUUCUUUGCGACGGCCCCUGCUCCGGUGUAAACGACAUGUUAGGUCACUUAUUUCUUCAAGGACGACAGGUGCCUGACCACAGGUGUGGAUAACACCUGAAGUCCCCACGGGCCCUUUGCCACCGCUCUCAGCCUUCUGCUGGACUCACAAACUUUAUGAUGUUGCCAACAGGCACUUCUUCCCCUGGCUCCUCUUGGAAGCAGCUAGAACCUUCAUCAGGAACCCAGCUAAUAAAAAAACCACAUUAUUUCCUCA